AACGGUGACGUCGGCGAGUAUAUCACUGGGAACUCCGCCAGGUCCGGAAGGAAGCAACGGUACCACGUUGUUAUGCUGCGCCGGCGUUGCCGCUUCU
rnacentral:SRP_RNA from 1 species